UACAAUAAAAGGAUCCUGGUCAGGAGAAAUGGACUCUCCUAAUACAUGGAGACGAGUGAGAUGUAGUGAAGAACUCGGGGGAUUAUACUAACGGACAGCGGCGGACGGGUGAGUAGCGCGUAGGCAACCUGCCCCUGACAGAGGGACAGACAUUGGAAACGAUGAUUAAAACCUCAUGACACCGUAGAAGCACAUGCUUCAUCGGUCAAAGAUUUAUCGGUCAGGGAUGGGCCUGCGUCUGAUUAACUAGUUGGUGAGGUAACGGCUCACCAAGGUGACGAUCAGUAGCCGACCUGAGAGGGUGAUCGGCCACAUUGGAACUGAGACACGGUCCAAACUUCUACGGAAGGCAGCAGUAGGGAAUCUUGCACAAUGGGCGAAAGCCUGAUGCAGCAACGCCGCGUGAAGGAUGAAGGCCUUCGGGUUGUAAACUUCUGUUCUAAGGGAAGAAACAAAUGACGGUACCUUAGGAGCAAGCCCCGGCUAACUACGUGCCAGCAGCCGCGGUAAUACGUAGGGGGCAAGCGUUAUCCGGAAUUAUUGGGCGUAAAGAGUGCGCACGUGGUUACCUAAGCCCAUGGUUCAAU
rnacentral:rRNA from 1 species